CAGCAUUUGGAAGGUAGAGGCAGGCAGAUCUCUGGGUUCAAGGCCAGCCUGGUCUACAGAGAGAGUUCCAGGAGAGCCCAAGCUAUACAAGAAACCUUAUCUGGAACAACAAAAAUAAGAGAACCUGAGGUAUGUUCCCAGCACCCACGUUUGAGGUUUACAACCGUGUGUGACUCCAGUUCCAGGGGACCUGACGCUCUUUGGCUCACACAGUGAACAUAUGUACCUUCAGGUACACAAAUAUACAGAUGAAAUAAAAUGAGUAGGUGCAAACACAUAUAGACACAAAAUAAAAUGAAUAAAUAAAUCUUUUUAAAAUGUC